AAACUUUCAACAACGGAUCUCUUGGCUCUGGCAUCGAUGAAGAACGCAGCGAAACGCGAUAAGUAAUGUGAAUUGCAGAAUCCAGUGAAUCAUCGAAUCUUUGAACGCACAUUGCGCCCGCCAGCAUUCUGGCGGGCAUGCCUGUUCGAGCGU
rnacentral:rRNA from 1 species